AGAGUUUGAUCCUGGCUUAGGAUGAACGCUGGCGGCGUGCCUAACACAUGCAAGUCGAGCGAUUACUUCGGUAAAGAGCGGCGGACGGGUGAGUAACGCGUGGGUAACCUGCCUCAUACACAUGGAUAACAUACCGAAAGGUAUGCUAAUACAGGAUAAUAUAAGAGAUUCACAUGGAUUUCUUAUCAAAGCUCCGGCGGUAUGAGAUGGACCCGCGUCUGAUUAGCUAGUUGGUAAGGUAAUGGCUUACCAAGGCGACGAUCAGUAGCCGACCUGAGAGGGUGAUCGGCCACAUUGGAACUGAGACACGGUCCAAACUCCUACGGGAGGCAGCAGUGGGGAAUAUUGCACAAUGGGCGAAAGCCUGAUGCAAGCAACGCCGCGUGAGUGAUGAAGGCCUUCGGGUCGUAAAACUCUGUCCUCAAGGAAGAUAAUGACGGUACUUGAGGAGGAAGCCCCGGCUAACUACGUGCCAGCAGCAGC
rnacentral:rRNA from 1 species